CACCAUUGUUGCAGCUGGAAGACAGUGCAUCUUAGGAAUGCUCAACUGUUUCAUAAAGCACUCUGCGAGAUGUUACGUCUUCUUCAUGCAAACUUGACAACGACUAAUCCGUGUCCUCAGCUCUCCAGCUUUCACUGUCUCUGACUGAGGUUUACUGGUUGACAGACACAAAGAACCAGAGCAUUUGCAGACAGAGCAUACAGAGUAUCUCACCUAGAUCCUGUCCAUGUGCUCUCUCAUUUCCUUGCACAUACAGAAGAGAGAAUCCAUCAUAUAUCCUUGAUGUUCCUUGUGGACAUAGUGGUGUAUCCCUGGUCUGGCUGUGCCGAGUUAUAAGGAAUCCAUGAGCAACAGAAGCUGUUCCAGGAGGACCAGCCUCUGCCACACGACUCAAGUUGCAACCUGCAGCCAGCUACCCUUCUUGGACAUCUCAGCGGUUGCUUAGGAUCAUACCUGGCAAUCCCUGUGGCCCUGGCAGUCCAGGUGGCCCUUUUGACCCAGGCUGUCCUGGUGGACCUGGGGGACCAGGAUCACCUUUGACAACAAUGCUUCGUCCAAUGGUACCUGGCAAACCUGGUGGACCUUAAGAGAAAGCAGCUUAAUAUUAGAUAAACCAAAGUGGAAGAGAGCAUGUGAAACAGUUUCUGUUCGAGAGUUCUUGGCUUCUGACUUGGCAAUAAAGACUCUGAAUGUGAAAAGCAUGUACAUACAAGGCAAGUAAGUGCUCUUGGUAAUGCCUCUCACUGCCAAAGGGCAUAUCUUGCAGGGAUUAGUCCAUGCAGACUGAAUACAGAGUAUAAAAUAUGAUGAGAUUUCUUGUAACAAACUCUUCCUGGCAGGUAACAAAAGUAAAAGUAACACUGCUCAGGACUGUCCUACCUGGUGGGCCUGGCAGCCCCUGAGUGCCUGUGAGGCCAGCAGGUCCUGCAGGUCCAGUGGGACCCUUCAUACCUGAAACAUCAAAUGCACACAGUUACAUAGUGAAACAACCUCCUGCCUCACAAAUGUGCUGCAGGAACAGCCAAAAAUCAGGCUUCUUUUCUGAGGGUUGCUGUUACUGUGUCUGGCAGGUUUCACUUGCAAUGCUAGUCAACUAUCUGCGACCACCCAGUUAAAUACCUGGGAAUCCUGGAACACCUGGAACGCCAGGAUCGCCCUUCAUUCCAUUCAGACCUGGACGACCAGGAUCCCCCUGAACAGAAAAGUGUCAUGUUAUCCCUCCUCUCAGCAGUUUCAGAACGAGACAGGAAAGGUGGCUGGAGGACAAAUAAUCCCACUCUGGAUCUGUGCUGUAGUGCUUUGAAGGGCUGAAGCCAGGCAUUCUGCUCACUGUUGGAGAGGAGGUUGCCAGAAAAUGCUGUGACGUGGAGUGUGCACUGACAGCUCCAACUCCCAUGGGAACAGAAUGGGGACAUCCCAGAUACUGUGGAAUAACAACUGGAAGAACUCUUUUACUUGCUGUAAGACAGGAUCUUAGCUACCAUAUCUAGGCUUUUACUUUACUACACUAAGUGCAUGUUCACAGAAUUAACCAGGCUGGGAGAGACCUCAAGGAUUAUCGAGUCCAACCUAUAUAUUUCAUUUUUCCUGCAUUUAAAAAUAAACUAGGAGGAAAACUCCCAUUUCUUCUCCUA